CCUGUGCCCUGCUAGAAGACCACCACCUCUAGUUCCAUGAUGUCUCCCUGGGAGCUGACUUGGUUGCACCAAGAACCCCAAGAACUGCAAACCUCCAGGAACCAGAUCAGAAGGGGAAAAAGAAAGGCAGGAAUCCACAAUCAUUUCAAUCAGCAUGAGGUUGCCAUAGCAACCAUACCCAACUCUUCCUCUCCCUUUCUCCCACCCCACCCCCACCCUCAUCUGCUUGAUGGCUUGGGUAUUCAGGCAAUUUGCGUGGAAUUGCUUUAGUUCUCUGAUUCACACAAUUUUAAUUUUAUAUCACUUGAUUUUAUGCCCUUCCUUCCCUUGAGCCUAAGAGGAGACGAAGGGUUUCAAAAUCAGAACAUACGUAACUUUCUGACCACACUUUUCCACUUAAUCAAAUGCAAAAAAUCCAUUUCUCAUUUCCCAUUCUGGAAACUUCACAUUUCCCUUUUCCUUAUUUGCCUUUCCCUCAAAACACCCCCGUCCCCCAACAUACAACCACCAUGCACUCCUAAUAUUUGAACACCAGUUUAUGAUAUUUUAAAGAAAUACUUUUCAGAGAAAUUCUGGUGACCCCUCCACGAUUAAGCUGAAGUUAAAGUUUAAGGGAAAACUGGACUAAGCAUAAUGACAUCUAAACUUUUUUCAACUGACAGUCUUCCUUUAAAAUAAUAAGGGGGGAUCCCUCCUUUUAUUUUUCUUUUUUCUUUUUUUGGAUACCAAAAAUUGAACCCAGAGGGACUUAACCAACUGAGCCAUAUCCCUAGCCCCUUUUUUAUAUUUUAUUUAGGGACAGGGUCUCCCUGAGUUGCUUAGUGCCUCACUUAGUUGCUGAGACUGGCUUUGAACUUGUGAUCCUCCUGUCUCAGCCUCCCUAGCCUCUGGGAUCUCAAGCCUGCGCCAUGACCCCAGCUUCUCCCUUUACUUUUUUAAGCACCAAGAAAACAGGGUGCUCUUUAGAGGCUUAGAGGAGACAAAGCACUUUGCUGUGAUUGUUUCAGCCCAGUUUGUGAAGCCUGGUGGCCAUGGUGUUGCUGACCCUGGAUUUCUGAGACAUCUUGCUUGGUAAGGAAGCACCAGGAGCUGUAGAAGGCCAAAAGCUGCACCACAGGGCUGAUGAUGAGACCAGACAGGGGAGCUAUACCAGGAGCUAAGAAAGAAAAUGGGGCCAGGAGGCUUUGAGGACACUUGUGUGUCAUCCCACAUCCAAAGAACAGAGGUAACUGAGGAGGAAGUCACUUGGGCAGCAGUUUGCCACCCUCUUCUGGUCUAAAAGUAUGAGGCUGUCUCCGUUCACACACGAGACCCAGCUUUUUCUACUUUGGGGCCUCCCUUCACCUUUUUUUCUUACUGAUGUCUUUGGGGAUAUUCCUAUACCUGGACACAAAUCUUCCAUUUGUGUCCCCUGACUUGUUUUUUUCCCUUGAAAGUCUUUAUCUCUUUGAGAUCAAAGAAAGUAACCAGAAUGACUUUUUACCCUUUCCUAGAAAUGCAUAACACUCUGCUAGUGUUUGCUAACAUUUCUGUGGCUGUCCAUUAAUGCUAUUCACUAAUUUCCAGCUCUGACUUCUGGCCCCUGGUGGAAAGCCUUCUCCAGCCGUCUUGGAAGUUAGGCAGGGCAAAGGUGGAAUCUGCACUCAAGAUUUCAUUACUCCAAAUCCCAUAACUCUUACAACAGAGAAGAUUUCAUUUCUGUUAAAGAGCAGAACAGAAUUUGAUAAAGUCUUAAGAAAAAUACCACAAGCUGUAUAAGAAAAUUCAAGCAUUUAAUGGUGAAAAAUGCACAGUAGUACUGGAUACAUCUCCAAGCUCUACAACAUUUUUUUUUUGUUUGCAUUUUUUCCUUCUAGCCAUAAAAAAGCUUACAAAUAU
rnacentral:lncRNA from 1 species